AGGACAUCAACGGUGACUUGCGCAGUGCCAUCGACGGAAGCCAGGAUGAUGCUCGCGUCGACACCGACGAGAGCCUUCAGGUCGAUGACGGCACCACCAAGGAUAGUGAUGAUCUCGUUCGCAGGGCCAGUGAUAGCCUCAACCGUGGCGUUCGCAGCAGUGACGAGAGCCAGUGAAGCGGUCACGGGCUCAAGCUGAGCCUG
rnacentral:misc_RNA from 1 species